rnacentral:rRNA from 1 species
UGGGGAAUUUUGGACAAUGGGCGAAAGCCUGAUCCAGCAAUGCCGCGUGUGUGAAGAAGGCCUUCGGGUUGUAAAGCACUUUUGUCCGGAAAGAAAUCCUUGGCUCUAAUACAGUCGGGGGAUGACGGUACCGGAAGAAUAAGCACUGGCUAACUACGUGCCAGCAGCCGCGGUAAUACGUAGGGUGCAAGCGUUAAUCGGAAUUACUGGGCGUAAAGCGUGCGCAGGCGGUUUGCUAAGACCGAUGUGAAAUCCCCGGGCUCAACCUGGGAACUGCAUUGGUGACUGGCAGGCUAGAGUAUGGCAGAGGGGGGUAGAAUUCCACGUGUAGCAGUGAAAUGCGUAGAGAUGUGGAGGAAUACCGAUGGCGAAGGCAGCCCCCUGGGCCAAUACUGACGCUCAUGCACGAAAAGCGUGGGGAGCAAAACAGGAUUAGAUACCCUGGUAGUCCACGCCCUAAACGAUGUCAACUAGUUGUUGGGGAUUCAUUUCCUUAGUAACGUAGCUAACGCGUGAAGUUGACCGCCUGGGGAGU